GUCUAUAGCCAUGCUACCCUGAACAAGCCCGAUCCCAUCUGAUCUCGAAAGCUAAGCAGGGUCCGGCCUGGUUAGUACUUGGAUGGGAGACCACCUAAAGGGUUGUCUGGCCUAGAUA
rnacentral:rRNA from 1 species